AUGCGGGAUAUAAAAACAUAUCUCUCUGUAGCACCCGUGCAAAGUACUCUAUGGUUUGGUGCUUUAGCAGGUUUAUUGAUAGAAAUUAAUCGUUUAUUCCCAGAUGCUUUGUCAUUCCCUUUUUUUUAA
rnacentral:rRNA from 1 species